GGGGAGGUAGCGAAGAGGCUAAACGCGGCUGACUGUAACUCAGUUCCUUAUGGUUCGGCGGUUCGAAUCCGUCCCUCCCCACCA
rnacentral:tRNA from 8 species